UUGACUCAAGCCAACCGUGAGCGCGCGCAUAUGGAGCGUUUGAUCAGCCACGUCAAUUAAUGAGGCUUGAUCAGACGCUCCUGGUUUUUUCUCUUUUUUUAAUUUCUGAUUUUAUUUCUUUUAUUUCCUUUAUUUUCAAAAAUUCAUAAAAAUGGGACCAAUUGCAUUCUUCUCCAUUUGAAUUCUAGUUUCUAAAAAUGAUUUUUAAUAUUUUUUAUUUCAUCAUUUGAUAUUUUUUUUGAAUUUUUCUCUUUUCUGGUUAUUUUUAAUUCAUUUUAAAUAGUUUUUAAUAUUCAAAAAAUACAAAAAAAAAUUCCAAU
rnacentral:lncRNA from 1 species